rnacentral:misc_RNA from 1 species
GGAAAGUGCAUGGAGGGUGUCUGUUCUAAGUCUAACAAUGACAGCUCCACAAGGUUCUGAAUUUCAUAUAAUUGGAUACCAUAAAUAAAACAACACGUGAGGACACCAAAACUCAAAUUCAAACAUUAUAGAGAAAAAUUACAUUUGCUGAGUUGAUUCAAGAAAAAAGAAAAAGAAUUUGAGAUCAACACAAUCCACUAGAUUCAUCCCAAGAAUCUCACACACUUGUACACACAAAAGAAGACUAUCAGAAAAAUUCACACCUCAGUAGUUUGUUGAAUAUAUUCUCUGUCUAAGAACAAAACUAACUUGCAGGUUCAUCCAACGAAAACACACACACUUGAAAAGUUCAUGAAAGAAUCAAACAAUGGCACAAUUUUAAAAGUAGGUUAGUCCGAUAUGGUAAAUUCAACUCGAUCGGAUACAGGUACAGCUCCAUAUCCAGCUCCAGAAGCUGAACUGAUCAAAGAUCUUGAUGCAGCCUCUCGUUCAUCAAGAAAUAGCCCAUCUGCGUUCUUCAAAACGGCGUGAACACCACAUAUCAAAAUCCCUAUCACAAUACCUAACACCAAACUCCAAAAACCACCGCUCAACCAAAUAGCCAAAAUUGAGACCAAAACCAAACCUACUAAAACCAGACGAUCACUCACUUGAUAGCCCCAAAAGACCAGUGGAUCUUCUCUGAAAAAGUAGAUUAGCAACCAGAGUGCGAAAACGAGGGCAAAUAGGAUCAGUGCAUAUGGGGACCCCGUCAGAGACAACGCACCGCAGACGGAGACGACGAUAGCGUAGUUGAUGCGAAAAUAGCGGAGGUUAAUGCGGACGCGGCUCAGGCCGGAGGCGAAGGAGUCGGGGCGGUUGAAGGUUCCGGAUGCGAUGAGUUCGGGCCACGGGCGAAGGCGGGAGACGAAGGCAGUGAGGUUAUGAAGUGACCGAGAUAUGACAUCGGCGGGGGAGAUGGGGAUGGUAGUAUAGAUGGUUGGGGCGGCGGGGGUAGUGGUGGGUGCUGACGGUUGCGUCAUUUUUUCUUUUGACUUUUUCUUUGGAAGUUUGACCCGUUUGACCACAAC